rnacentral:rRNA from 1 species
UACAGAGGGGGCCAGCGUUAUUCGGAAUUAUUGGGCGUAAAGGGCGCGUAGGCGGCCAUGCGUGUCUUCCGUGAAAUCCCUCGGCUUAACUGAGGACGUGCGGAAGAAACUGCAAGGGCUCGAGUCCGGGAGAGGGGGGGUGGAAUUCCCAGUGUAGCGGUGAAAUGCGUAGAUAUUGGGAGGAACACCAGUGGCGAAGGCGGCUCACUGGCCCGGUACUGACGCUGAGGUGCGAAAGCGUGGGGAGCAAACAGG